rnacentral:tRNA from 1 species
UAUUAAUUGUUACUUUGGCAGAAUAGUGCUUUAAAUUUAGAAUUUAAAUAUGUAUUUUAUACAGGUAAUA